AACGAACGCUGGCGGCAGGCUUAACACAUGCAAGUCGAACGCACCUUUCGGGGUGAGUGGCAGACGGGUGCGUAACGCGUGGGAAUCUACCCUUCUCUACGGGAUAGCUCCGGGAAACUGGAAUUAAUACCGUAUACGUCCUGAGGGAGAAAGAUUUAUCGGGGAAGGAUGAGCCCGCGUUGGAUUAGCUAGUUGGUGGGGUAAAGGCCUACCAAGGCGACGAUCCAUAGCUGGUCUAAGAGGAUGAUCAGCCACAUUGGGACUGAGACACGGCCCAAACUCCUACGGGAGGCAGCAGUGGGUAAUAUUGGACAAUGGGCGCAAGCCUGAUCCAGCCAUGCCGCGUGAGUGAUGAAGGCCCUAGGGUUGUAAAGCUCUUUCAGUGGGGACGAUAAUGACGGUACCCACAGAAGAAGCCCCGGCUAACUUCGUG
rnacentral:rRNA from 1 species